UACGGAGGAUCCGAGCGUUAUCCGGAUUUAUUGGGUUUAAAGGGAGCGUAGGCGGAAGCUUAAGUCAGUUGUGAAAGUUUGCGGCUCAACCGUAAAAUUGCAGUUGAUACUGGGUUUCUUGAGUGCAGUAGAGGUAGGCGGAAUUCGUGGUGUAGCGGUGAAAUGCUUAGAGAUCAUACAGAACACCGAUUGCGAAGGCAGCUUACCAAGCUACUUCUGACGUUGAGGCACGAAAGCGUGGGGAGCAAACAGG
rnacentral:rRNA from 1 species